CAAAAUGUGGCUAAAUUAGCAAAGCACCUCCCUUACACCGAGGAAAAACCCGUGCAAUUCGAGUCAUUUUGA
rnacentral:tRNA from 1 species